GACGAACGCUGGCGGCGUGCUUAACACAUGCAAGUCGAACGGAAAGGCCCUGCUUUCGUGGGGUGCCCGAGUGGCGAACGGGUGAGUAACACGUGAGUAACCUGCUCUUGUCUUUGGGAUAACUUCAGGAAACUGGGGCUAAUACCGGAUAGGAGCUCCUGCUGCAUGGUGGGGGUUGGAAAGUUUCGGCGGUUGGGGAUGGAUUCGCGGCUUAUCAGCUUGUUGGUGGGGUAGUGGCUUACCAAGGCUUUGACGGGUAGCCGGCCUGGGAGGGUGACCGGCCACAUUGGGCCUGAGAUACGGCCCAGACUCCUACGGGAGGCAGCGGUGGCGAAUAUUGCACAAUGAGCGGAAGCCUGAUGCAGCGACGCUGCGUGCGUGAUGCCGGCCUUCGGGUUGUAAACCGCUUUCGCCUGUGACGAAGCGUGAGUGACGGUAAUGGGUGAAGAAGCACCGGCUAACUACGUG
rnacentral:rRNA from 1 species